rnacentral:rRNA from 1 species
UACGUAGGGCGCAAGCGUUGUCCGGAAUUAUUGGGCGUAAAGAGCUCGUAGGCGGCUUGUCGCGUCGUCCGUGAAAACCAGGGGCUCAACCCCUGGCUUGCGGUCGAUACGGGCAGGCUAGAGUUCGGUAGGGGAGACUGGAAUUCCUGGUGUAGCGGUGAAAUGCGCAGAUAUCAGGAGGAACACCGGUGGCGAAGGCGGGUCUCUGGGCCGAUACUGACGCUGAGGAGCGAAAGCGUGGGGAGCGAACAGG